UUAAAUUGAAGAGUUUGAUCAUGGCUCAGAUUGAACGCUGGCGGCAGGCCUAACACAUGCAAGUCGAACGGUAACAGGAAGCAGCUUGCUGUUUUGCUGACGAGUGGCGGACGGGUGAGUAAUGUCUGGGAAACUGCCUGAUGGAGGGGGAUAACUACUGGAAACGGUAGCUAAUACCGCAUAACGUCGCAAGACCAAAGAGGGGGACCUUAGGGCCUCUUGCCAUCGGAUGUGCCCAGAUGGGAUUAGCUAGUAGGUGGGGUAACGGCUCACCUAGGCGACGAUCCCU
rnacentral:rRNA from 1 species